rnacentral:rRNA from 1 species
AGAGUGAACGCUGGCGGCAGGCCUAAUACAUACAAGUCGAACGGCAGCACGGCAGAGCUUGCUCUGUGGGUGGCGAGUGGCGGACGGGUGAGGAAUACAUGGGAAUCUGCCCAGUCGUGGGGGAUAACGUAGGGAAACUUACGCUAAUACCGCAUGCGCCCUUCGGGGGAAAGCCGGGGACCUUCGGGCCUGGCGCGAUUGGAUGAGCCCAUGUCGGAUUAGCUAGUUGGCGGGGUAACGGCCCACCAAGGCGACGAUCCGUAGCUGGUCUGAGAGGAUGAUCAGCCACACUGGAACUGAGACACGGUCCAGACUCCGUACGGGAGCAGCAGGUAGGGAAUAUUGGAACAAGUGGGACGCAAGCCUGAUCCAGCCAUGCCGCGUGAGUGAAGAAGGCCUUGGUUAGUAAAGUCUUCGUUUUGUACCGGAAAGUAAAGCGUUACGGUAC